rnacentral:rRNA from 1 species
UACAGAGGUCCCGAGCGUUGUUCGGAUUCACUGGGCGUAAAGGGUGCGUAGGUGGUGAGGUAAGUCGGAUGUGAAAGCUCGGAGCUCAACUCCGAAAUGGCAUUGGAAACUACCUUGCUCGAGGGUUGGAGGGGGGACUGGAAUACUUGGUGUAGCAGUGAAAUGCGUAGAUAUCAAGAGGAACACCUGCGGCGAAGGCGGGUUGCUGGGCCGACACUGACGCUGAUGCGCGAAAGCUAGGGGAGCGAACGGG